rnacentral:rRNA from 1 species
UACGUAGGGGGCUAGCGUUGUCCGGAAUCAUUGGGCGUAAAGAGCGUGUAGGCGGCUCGGUAAGUCCGCUGUGAAAGUCCAGGGCUCAACCCUGGAAUGCCAGUGGAAACUGUCGAGCUAGAGUCCGGAAGAGGCGAGUGGAAUUCCUGGUGUAGCGGUGAAAUGCGCAGAUAUCAGGAGGAACACCGAUGGCGAAGGCGGCUCGCUGGGACGGUGCUGACGCUGAGACGCGAAAGCGUGGGGAGCAAACAGG